AUCAAGAUGUCCAAAGCUUUUUUUCCUCUGUAAUCUUUAAUCAUUUUAAAACUUUUUAAUGUAAAACUUCAAAGAAACACAGAAGGAGACAAUGUUAAAUGAACCACUUCAGAACUGACCCUUAAAGACUUUCUAUGCUGGUCUUGAACUUGGGAUCUUUCUACUUAAGCCUCAGAGGUUGAAAUUCAAGCCUGUACCACCAGUACCAGUUUCUCUGCAUUUUUGUCAUAUAGGAAGAAAUACAGAGACCCACAAGAAGACAUUAUGAGUAACUAACAGAUUAUGGAACACAGAGUUUUAAAUGGGAUGUCUUUAUCAAAGCAACCAUGGUAACCCUGUGGAACAGGAGCUGUAAGAGCCAGAGGAGAUGGAGGACACCAGGAGAACAAGGCCAUCUAAACUAUGAAUAAGGCUUAUAUCAAUUCUCAGAAACUGAAUCAGCAUCCACACGGCCUGUGUAAGUCUGCACCAAGGCCUCUGAGCAUAUAUUAUAACUUCUAGUUAAGUGUUUUUAUGGGAUUUCUGAGUGUGUAAUGAAUUGGUAUGUAAUUUCUCUUGGGUUCUUUCCUUCUGUUUGUGUGUUUUGUUCAAUUACAAUGUGUUAUUUCUUGUUUUAUCUUAUUACAUAUUAUUAUAUUAUAUUUUAUUUUGUUAUUAUCACAUAAAAACUGUAAGCAAAGGCUGCUCAUUCAUUUCCUGGAUGCUCAUACCUGAAUUGUCACAGAGAAACUACAUUAAUUUCAGCACUGGUUAGCCUAUUAACUUAGGAUUCUUAUUGGCUAGUUUCUAUUUCUUAAUUUAAACCACCUACUCUCUCUAUCUCUAUCUCUUUCAGCCUGGCUAUAUUCUGCCCUCCUAUGGGCCAAAGUAGCUUUAUUCAUUAACAAAUAAAAGCAGCACAUAUACAGAAGAACAUACCACAACAUCUCCCCUUUUCUGUCUAAUUAAAAAGAAAGAUUUUAAAUUUAGCAUAGUAAAAUUACAUACAAAACAGGUAUCAGUCAAAAAUUACACUUACAAUAAAUGUUAUAUCUAAUUUAUCCUCUAUCAUAUCUAAGGAAAAUUAUGAUAACCUAUUCUUCAACUCCAUCAAAGACCUCAAAAGGAUAUAAUAUUACCUAAGUAAACAGUAAGUGCAUCAUAAGAAAAUCCAAAACUUUAAAACUGACAGAGAUAUCUUGCUAUCCCAGUUCUUUUUUAAUGUUGGGGCACCCAUCUUCAGCCUACAGGUCCAUAGUGUCUGGCAGACAUUUCCAUGAAGCAGAACAUUUGAAAAGCUUUUUUGACUAUAUUAGAAGUUUGUCAUUCACUUUCUUCUGUUUCCUGCAAAUGCUUUCAUGAAGCAGAAAUCCUGAAGGACUGUUUUACCUUUAGGCAAGUUCAACAGUCAUUUUUCUGUGGAUCCUGCAUUCCAGUUCAUACAGCAUACCAUUAAGCAGUGCAGGCAAAAGCAGUUUCUUGCCCAAAUGGCUAGCAAACUCCAACCUCUUCAAUGCCCAUCAUCCUCUUUAAAUAGAUGAUGCUACCAAAAGCAGACAUGCCUCUUUGUCAAGAAAAGUCUAAGUUCUUAAAACCUUUUAAAUGCCAUAUUCUGUAAGUGUUUAGUGUUAAAGAUUAUUUAUCUAACUGAAAAAUGUAUCUGUAUAUCUAGAAAACCUAACUGACUACAAGUUUGACUAUUAUAAAGGACUAUCUAUUUGUCUGUAAUUUGUAAAUAUAUAAUACAUAUUAAAUGAGUUGCACAAACAUAAUACCUUAAGAGCUGAGAUACAUAUGCACAAUGUAACAAAACUGACCUUGAAUUUGUAUCAGUAUAUCAAGAUCCAUACCAAUGCCAAAUAUUCAUCUCUAUAUCAUAUUACUUUUUUGAAAAUUGAUUGUUACCAUUAACCAUUUAUAACCAACUUUUUUAAAAUGAAAAUAAACAUUUAUAAACAAUAUUUGUGAAUUUGGGCAUAGUUCUCUAAAAUACUUCCUGUUUAUUAUUGGGCAAAGUAUUCUUAGCAUACAUGGAGACUUUUCAGGGGGUCUUAUUCCAUUAAAUCAUAUUAGCCUGGAAGGAAUCCAUAGAUUCUUAUUUUCUAUGGAAACAAAAGCAGAACCGCUUUUCCAAAGUAACAUAUCUUUAGACUCAAUUUUUUUUUCUUUUUCUUUUUUUUUAUUGAGAAUAAGAAAAAAAAGUUUCUGCCUCCUCCCAGCCUCCCAUUUCCCUCCCCCUCCCCCCAAUCUUCUUCCCCUCCCCCCUCUCUUC